rnacentral:rRNA from 1 species
CCUACGGGAGGCAGCAGUGAGGAAUAUUGGUCAAUGGUCGGGAGACUGAACCAGCCAAGCCGCGUGAGGGAUGAAGGUACAGAGUAUCGUAAACCUCUUUUGUCAGGGAACAAAGGCGGGGACGUGUCCCCGGAUGAGUGUACCUGAAGAAAAAGACUCGGCAAACUCCGUGCCAGCAGCCGCGGUAAUACGGAGGAUGCGAGCGUUAUCCGGAUUUAUUGGGUUUAAAGGGUGCGCAGGCGGUCUGUUAAGUCAGCGGUAAAAGCCCGGGGCUCAACCCCGGCCCGCCGUUGAAACUGGCAGUCUCGAGUUGGAGAGAAGUAUGCGGAAUGCGCGGUGUAGCGGUGAAAUGCAUAGAUAUCGCGCAGAACUCCGAUUGCGAAGGCAGCAUGCCGGCUCCACACUGACGCUGAGGCACGAAAGCGUGGGUAUCGAACAGGAUUAGAUACCCCAGUAGUC